UUGGCGCCAAUGCUGUCGUUUAUUGCGCGGAAUGGGGGUGUGGGGGUUAAUGGGGCGUGGGGGGCCACGGUGGGGGCACUGCUGCCUCGGCUCGUCAGUACAUUCAUCACGGCGGCGGGACCCCAGCCUCCCCCCCGCGCCCUGCGCAGCCAGGCCUGCCUCUCGGUGCCAGUGCUGGAGGGAGGCGGGGUGCUGCUCCCCGAGGUCACCGGGGGACGCGCGCGGACGGGGGCCGGGCCGGUUAUUGCGUGAGCGCGAUGGGGGCAGCGGGAAGCCGGCGGGCCAAGUAUUGCACUUAGAAAACGAUCCUCCUCGGACGGGGGCCACCUAGAGGGUGGGGGGCGGGCGGGGCUCCACAGCCGGCUCCUCUCAGCCACUGGGCCGCCCCGUCCCUGUCUUACAGCUGGGGGAACUGAGGCACCGAGGUGAAGGGAGCCCCCUCGCACGCGAGGCCCACGCGCUGACCCAGCUCGGCCUGCUGCACCAUCUCGCGGUCGUACUUGACG
rnacentral:lncRNA from 1 species